CUUGGUAAUGAGCUUUUCAAAAAAUUAAGGACUACAUGUUGUACUGUGAUGAUGCUAAAAAAAAUGUAUUUUUCUGUUUGCAGUACUGACAGUCAUCAACAUGGAAGAUAUGUUUUGUUCCUAACCAUCUGUAAUCAAUUCUCUAUGAAGUUCAGACUGUCUGCUCUUCCUUUGGAAAUACACAGUUAGUCAAUCAACAUAGAAACACACAAACUUGAAGGAUUCUCUAGUGAGAGGUUAUGGAAAUGAUCUAUGUCUACUCUUAGAAUGGUGAAAGACUCUCAGAUUAUGCAAAGACUAACAGAAUAUCCUCUCUUGGAACACUGAAACAAGAAAACCAAACUUAAGAGGAUGGAGGAUUUAAGAAGAACAUAAAUAUGAUUUCCAUCGAAUUUAACCAGUACGAUCAUAGACUGUGGUUUAUACAGGAUGACAAAGAAAGGACCCAGGAUUGUAUGUUUCACUGUGAGACACUGACUAUGGAUAAAGUGUAAUCAUUUAUCAAACUGAGAUCUAGUCAAAUCAAGUAUUGAAAAUAUGAUUUUCUGAUAGCAUGAGCUCUUUAAAAACUAUUUCUC